AUUCUUCUAUGAAGGUUUAUUCAAAUGAUGAUUGGUCUGUUCACGUGACUGCGUGAAAUGUGCAACCUUCUGUUACGACUGAGCACAUGACCGUCUGAUA